rnacentral:rRNA from 1 species
GACGAACGCUGGCGGCGUGCCUAAUACAUGCAAGUAGAACGCACAGUUUAUACCGUAGCUUGCUACACCAUAGACUGUGAGUUGCGAACGGGUGAGUAACGCGUAGGUAACCUGCCUGGUAGCGGGGGAUAACUAUUGGAAACGAUAGCUAAUACCGCAUAAUAUUAAUUAUUGCAUGAUAAUUAAUUGAAAGGUGCAAUUGCACCACUACCAGAUGGACCUGCGUUGUAUUAGCUAGUAGGUGAGGUAACGGCUCACCUAGGCGACGAUACAUAGCCGACCUGAGAGGGUGAUCGGCCACACUGGGACUGAGACACGGCCCAGACUCCUACGGGAGGCAGCAGUAGGGAACCUUCGGCAAUGGACGAAAGUCUGACCGAGCAACGCCGCGUGAGUGAAGAAGGUUUUCGGAUCGUAAAGCUCUGUUGUAAGAGAAGAACGGGUGCGAGAGUGGAAAGUUCACACUGUGACGGUAUCUUACCAGAAAGGGACGGCUAACUACGUG